rfam:Monodelphis domestica chromosome X, whole genome shotgun sequence.
ACUUGGAUAAGGCACUCUUAUUUUGUGCCUUCCAGCAAAAUAAAUUACCUUAUCCUUGGUG